AGUGAACGCUGGCGGUAGGCCUAACACAUGCAAGUCGAACGGCAGCACAGUAAGAGCUUGCUCUUACGGGUGGCGAGUGGAGGACGGGUGAGGAAUACAUCGGAACCUACUUUUUCGUGGGGGAUAACGUAGGGAAACUUACGCUAAUACCGCAUACGACCUACGGGUGAAAGCAGGGGAUCUUUGGACCUUGCGCGAUUGAAUGAGCCGAUGUCGGAUUAGCUAGUUGGCGGGGUAAAGGCCCACCAAGGCGACGAUCCGUAGCUGGUCUGAGAGGAUGAUCAGCCACACUGGAACUGAGACACGGUCCAGACUCCUACGGGAGGCAGCAGUGGGGAAUAUUGGACAAUGGGCGCAAGCCUGAUCCAGCCAUACCGCGUGGGUGAAGAAGGCCUUCGGGUUGUAAAGCCCUUUUGUUGGGAAAGAAAAGCAGCAGGUUAAUACCCCGCUGUUCUGACGGUACCCAAAGAAUAAGCACCGGCUAACUUCGUG
rnacentral:rRNA from 1 species